rnacentral:lncRNA from 1 species
AGGGGGGGUAAAUUGGGUUUUAAAGUAAUUAUUGCAAUUAAAAACUUUGUGAGUAACUAAUUAAAACUUAAUUGCAAGUGGAUUAAUUAGUUGCUAUAUGCAGUGGAUGAAGGGAAAGGAAGAGACAAUGAAACAAUCACAAACACAAGCAAUUUUAUAGUGGUUCGGAGCUAACCCUUGCUCCUACGUCCACUUCCCAAGCCUCACUUGGGAGUUCACUAUAAUCCCUCGAAUUACA